CUUUUUCUGCCAGUCUUUAUACUUCCCUUCCAAGCUUCCAACUUCAAUGUCGAACUUCCGAUCUCUGUCAUAUGAAGAUAUUAAUUAAUGGAGUCUAAAACCCUAAGAAAAUUGCGAAAAUCCGAUGAACUUCGAACAGGUUGAAUGCUCCCACAAGAUUGACAAAUCAGAAACGGCCCCUGACUCUUACAAUUCCAGCAGCACGUGGUGGAAGAUGCUGAUGAACAAAAACCGGAACUUUUUCCACGAAAUUCGGAGCUCCAUAUGAGGUGAAUUUGGGGAUUCCUUGAAACCCUUGUUUGUGCGUUAGUAUUGAAGGUACAGGGACUGGGAGUAGAGAAAUUUGGUUGAUUUUUUAUGGUUUCUUCUAGUGAUUGGAGAGAAAUGGAUUGAGGUAUGGUUUUCCGAAUGAAGGUUGUCAAUGGCGUUCUGAGUUGGUUUCUCAACAUUUUGAGAGAGAUCGAUCUAAAACC